UGUGGGCGUAUGGUGGACACCUCCCUCCCCCUGAGAACAAUGGUAAAAGAUUAAUGGAUUAAAAAGCCCAAGCUUUCUGCAUGGUUGGCAGGGAGGUGUUGCACAAAUGCACAGAGCAGCUCCUUGUGCUCGGGGGCCGUUCCUUCAUGCUCUUGCUCAGCUCUGUCUGCUGUGUCUCAAAGCCUAGAACAUGUAGCCACCCUGCGUCAGGAGACGCUGCCCACAUGCACCACCCCAGCAGAGGAAGGGAGCCGUGCCCAGGUCCGGAGACUGCUGAGCUGUGGCAUGACGACAGGGAGGGAGCCCAGCUCAAGCCGACAAAAGCAGGUGAGGCAAUCAACCUGUGGAGCAGCCAAAGGUAAAAAGAAAAGGUGAAAAACUUAGAAAGAGGGGAGGAGUAAAAACGGAACUACACACGUUUGGAACAGGACAUUUGGAAAGGACUCCUGCUGGGAAGAACAUUUUGAGGGUGCGCCCAUCCAAAGUCUCAAUGCUCAAGUCAAGAUCACCUGCCUCCGCUUCCCAGGGGCGGUGUGAUGACGUGGGACCAUGGGCACUUUGAGGUCAGACAGAUGCGUGUUCCAGUUCUGCCUCUCCCCUCACCGGCAACUUCUG
rnacentral:lncRNA from 1 species